rnacentral:rRNA from 1 species
UACGGAGGGUGCAAGCGUUAUCCGGAUUCACUGGGUUUAAGGGGUGCGUAGGCGGAUUGGUAAGUCCGUGGUGAAAUCCCCGAGCUUAACUUGGGAACUGCCGUGGAUACUAUCAGUCUUGAAUAUCGUGGAGGUAAGCGGAAUAUGUCAUGUAGCGGUGAAAUGCUUAGAUAUGACAUAGAACACCAAUUGCGUAGGCAGCUUACUACACGAUCAUUGACGCUGAGGCACGAAAGCGUGGGGAGCAAACAGG